rnacentral:hammerhead_ribozyme from 1 species
AUCCAACUGACGAGUCUCAAAUAGAACGAAUUGCACGUCAAACUGGAU